GUUAAAUUCCACCGUUACAGCUGAGGAUGACGUGUGGGCCCAGGGCAGCAGAGGCCCAGGUAGAGCUAAGGAACUCCACCGCGGGUUGCAAAAGUGACCGGCGCAAGCGGCCACCGCCCGUUCGCGUCUGGCGGGAGCGAAUGUGCGGCCGGCAGUGGGCUGCGCGGGAGGGGAUUUGCGGCGGGGGCGGCGAGCUGCAGGCCGGGGCGACGGGUUGCGCGGGAGGGGAUUUGAGGCAGGGGCGGUGAGCUGCGGGGCCGAGGGCAGCAGCCGCGCGGAUGCAGGCGGCGCAGGGGAUGGCACCCAAUCCGUCGCCACCAUCGUCGACGCGGACCCCGCGGCGUCCUUCGCGUUGUUGUUGCCGGUGAGCCGCACGAACACCACCGGCGCCGGGAGCUUGCGGGCGUUGCCCUCGCUGAGCCGGCGCGCAGCUCGGAGUAGGACGAGAGCUACGCGCUCUGCUCCGCCUAGCCUGAGCGCCUUCGCUCCCGCCGCUUCGGCGUCUUCCGCAUCGGUGGUUUCGUCGGCCCGGACGUUGACGAGGAAGCGCCGAUGCCCGUGCCGUGCAUAUAUAUCUAACCGUACCCUGAAAGAUCUUUGACGAAGGCGCAGUCCAUGGCUUCGACUUCGAGGAUGAGCUGCACCUCCAUGCCGUCGCCGUGCGUAUGCACAGCUCCGGCAGGAACUGCCGCUUUCUGGUCGAGCCGAGGCCGACCAUCAGUGGCUUCAAUUUUGGAGGAGCCCCUGGCAGUUCCCGCUGGAGCGGUCAUGGAAGUCUGAUGCGGGCCGCGAGGCCAGAAGCCCAGAACUUUGAGUCAGAUAGGCACGUCGUACAGAUAGGCGGUGGAAUCUAACGGAGACUAACGUCGGUGGCACAUAAGGGAUGAAAAAUCAAAAUUUGAUGGCAACGAAAGGACCACUUUGGAUGGCAUAGAAGGUAUGAUUAUAAGUUUUGAUGGUAUAGAGGGAAUUUUCUCUUCAUUCAAAGCAAUGGGGGAAUAUGUGCACCGCUUUUUUAGCUUCGCAGGGAGGGAGGUAUUUCCUUGGAAGGUUGCUUUUUUCGCACACCCACCCCACCCACCCGCCGAUCAUAGGGUCGAGCCGUCGACAUACAACAGUAACAUGGCGGCGACUGGAAGAGGACCGCAUGGUCUCGGUCUUGUGCCUUUUAUUCCUUUUUGCUUUUGUUUGUUGUGACAUCUUCUGAUUAUCAAGGCUCCAUCGAUGAUGAGUUUUUUUUCUUUCUAAAUGAGAGUUAUUAGAGAGCAAAUGUUUGGGAAUGCACGUGGUGGCAUGUGGGUAAACAUGGCAUUGCCCCUCAUGAAGUGACAAACAGAUUCACCUUCUUGACUCAA